GACGAACGCUGGCGGCGUGCCUAAUACAUGCAAGUCGAACGCAGUGGGGACGGGUGAGUAACACGUGGGUAACCUCCCAUCAGAGGGGAUAACACUUGGACACAGGUGCUAAACCGAUACUGAUGGAUGGACCCGCGGUGCCUUAGCGAGUUGGUGUGGUAACGGCUCACCAAGGCCACGAUGCAUAGCCGACCUGAGAGGAUGAUCGGCCAACCUGGGACGUAGAAACGGCCCAGACCACUACGGGAGGAAGCAGUAGGGAAUCUUCGGCAAUGGACGAAAGUCGGACCGAGCAACGCCGCGUGAGUGAAGAAGGUUUUCGGAUCGUAGAACUCUGUUGUUAGGGAGGCGGUAUCUAACCAGAAAGCCACGGCUAACGACGUGCCAGCAGCCGCGGUAAUAC
rnacentral:rRNA from 1 species